CAAGUUUUGGUGCUUGAAGUACUGCACAACUUGCUGGGGCAGCUCUGCCAGCACAGCUUUGGCCAGGGUCUCCUUGGGGGCCUGCAGGCGAAAGGGAGCAAACACCAGUGUAAGAACAGCCAUAGGGACUGACUGAGCAAAUGUCGCUGAGCUGUCCCUGCCUCCAGACUGUGGCAUUUCAUUUAAUGCCCCCUUGAGUCUACUGGCAGCCAGCAUUUUAUACACCUCAGAUAAUUAUAUUCUAUACUACACCUUCCCUCCAGGACAUAAUUCACUGGUAGGGGGGAUUGAAACAUCCAGGCUAGGUUAGGAAAAACACUGGUAUUGAAUAACAGCAGGUGAAAUGGAAAAACACUGAUUAGGUGCAAAAAGAGUGAAGAUAAGUACAGGCUGAUGUUAUGCACCCUCUGGCAAUCCUGUGCCAGCAGUAGCAUCUGACCCAGGGCUGACUCACAGACGAUCAUGAUGGGCAGGCAACAGCAUCUCAUUCUGAUGGUUUUUUUCCCUCUUUUUUCUUCCUUAAUCAGCUUUUUUCCAACACACAAGGCUGGGCUGGGCCACCAUCCCCCAGAAGAUACCCGUGCAGGGCCAGUGCCAGCAUCACACCUUUCCACAGGUGCUGAAAGAGGACAGGGGGGAGUCGGGACUCACCCCAGCAUUAAGCCCUCAGCACGUGGCACGUGGGAUCACGGGUGCGGAUGAGACCAGCAUAGGACCAUGUGCUGGGAGCAAGCGAGAGCGGAAGCAAGAGGAAGGCAGGUCCGGGCAGCCACCGAAGCUGGCAGCAUCGGAGGGGGUUUGCUGCACGUGUUGAAGAUGGGACGGAAGAGAAGACGACCCCAGGGAAG